ACUUGGAAUUGAAUCUGGUGAUGAGCAAGAGGCAGAGGAUGAUGUAAGAAUAGGGGAGGCCUACACUAGGAAGCUAUAUGGUACAAACAGUAAGUUCCUGUAUGUACACCAAACUCAAUGGCAGAGAAGACUUCUUGAGCUGAAUGGGAAAGAGAUAUGCCUUUUGGAUGCUACAUAUAGGUCAACCAGAUAUUCUCUCCCAUUAUAUUUCCUAUGUGUGCCUACGAACGUAAAUUACAUUACUGUUGGAACCUUUGUUACAGAGACCAAGGACAGCGCUUCACUGAUGGAGGCCUUGCAGGUUAUAAAAGAAUGGAAUCCCGAGUGGUUACCCAAGUUCUUCAUGUGUGACUAUGCCACUGAAGAAAUCAAUGCCCUUGAAAACGUUUUUCCAGGUUCUUUUGUAUACCUUUGUGAUUUUCACCGAGAGCAGAGUUGGGAAAGAUGGCUUACUGCAGCACAUAAUGGACUGCACACAGAGAAGACCUAUGUUCUUCCACUUCUAAGACCUAUUGCUAGGGCACUUAAUGAAGAUGAUUAUAAUUAUGCGUUAGCUACAUUAAAGGUAUUAAAAUAAGAUAAGCUUAUUCUCAGACAUAUUCAAAUAUGGUGUUCAUAAAACACUUACAAAUUCUGGAAAAAACAAUGAACUUAAUACAAUAACAUAUUGUAAACCCAUUUAUUUUCACAUAUGGUUAACCUUUGCAAUUUUCACAUGAGGAUGAAAAAAUAAAGUGACAGUUUUUAUACAGAUAAUGAAAAUGCUUGAAAUUGCAACACCAGGAUAACGUUUUGUGCUGUAGAACAAUAUAUAUAUUAAUAGAUAAUGUAAAAUUUGUACAUUAUGCAUAUGCCUGUUGUGUAGUUGUGAAUAAUUGUCAAGUGUGUAGUUGUUGUAUGAAAUGAUUGUAUAGUUUUUAAAUUAAUAUGUCUGUAUUCCAGUAAACAUGGAAAAUGAGUAUGUUAUUUCUUCUUUAUUUCCACUUUAAUCAUGUCUCUUUCUGAUUGAAUAUAGAGAAACACACAUAAGCAACUAACAGCACCCCUGGUACGGGAUAACGUUUGAGCUGUAUUGUUUAUAUUGAUUAUAUUUUGAUCAUGUUGCCCAUGGUGGCAAGUGGAAGUACAGUAGAACAAUAUAUAUUAAUAGAUGAUGUAAAAUUUGUACAUUAUGCAGAUAUAUGCCUGUUGUGUAGUUUUGAAUAAUUUGUCAAGUGUGUAGUUGUUGUAUGAAAUGAUUGUAUAGUUUUUAAAUUAAUAUGUCUGUAUUCCAGUAAACAUGGAAAAUUAGUAUGUUAUUUCUUCUUUAUUUCCACUUUAAUCAUGUCUCUUUUUGAUUGAAUAUAGAGAAAUACACAUAAGCAACUAACAGCACCCCUGGUACGGGAUAACGUUUUGUGUUGUAUUGUUUAUAAUGAUUCUAUGUUUGAUUAUGUUGCCCAUGGUGGCAAGUGGAAGUACAGUAGAACAAUAUUGUUUAUAGAUAAUGCAAUAUCAGUACUUUAAUUUUAUUCAAAUAGAUGCAUGGUGUAAGUGAAUAAUUGUUAAGUGUGUGUAGAUAUUGUAAGAAAUGGUUGCACUUUUUAAUUGUCUGUUGUUAAGUAAAUGAAGCUAUGUUUAUAUUUAAGUCUCCCAAACGAAGUUUGGGAAGACUUAUUGUUUUUGUUCAGUUCUUAUUAUUAUUAUUAUUAUUCUUCUUCUUCUUCUUCCUCUUCCGCCGCUUUUAAAUUUGAACUUGUCCGCACCCGUUCUCCAAAACCGCUUGUCAGAUUAACUUAGGGUUUCACAAUAUGUUAGACUAACAUGUCUAGUGGUGCAAUCAGGGUUUUGUUUGUGCAAUGGGGUUUAUAAAGGGGUACUUUGAGGGGCAAAAAUAAAAGAGGGUUUUACUAUAGAACCCUUUGGGAUUUUAUUUUUUAAAAUUUUCAAAUGAUUAUAAAUUGAAAACCGUUUGUGAUAGACACAAUCUUUUUAAUUGAAAAUGUUCUAAAUGAUAAAGCCCAUUAAAUGAAAUACAGGGUUAGUCCCCAGGGGCCACCCCCACCCCCUGCCAUUUAAGAAAGUUCUAAUACCUUGUAAGUGGUCAAGAUCCCUACCCCUAAACCAUUUAUAUUUUGGUUUGUUAUGCUAAGAUGGUUUGAAUGAUAUACAGGGUUAGUCCCCAGGGGUCAUCCCGACCCCCUGCCAUUUGAGAAAGUUCUAAUAUCUUGUAAAUGGUCGAGAUCCCCACCCCUAAACCAUAUAUAUUCUGGUUUGUCAUGAUAAAGCACAUCAAAUGAAAUACAGGGUUAGUCCCCAGGGGUCACCCCCAUCCCCUGCCAUUUAAGAAAGUUCUAAUAUCUUCUAAGUGGUCCAGAUCACCACCCCUAAACCAUAUAUAUUCUGGUUUGUCAUGCUAAGGUGGUUUGAAUGAUAUACAGGGUUAGUCCCCAGGGGUCAUCCCGACCCCCUGCCAUUUGAGAAAGUUCUAAUAUCUUGUAAAUGGUCGAGAUCCCCAUCCCUAAACCAUAUAUAUUCUGGUUUGUCAUGAUAAAGCACAUCAAAUGAAAUACAGGGUUAGUCCCCAGGGGUUACACCACCCCCUGCCAUUUAAGAAAGUUCUAAUAUCUUGUAAGUGGUCAAGAUCCCCACCCCUAAACCAUAUAUAUUCUGGUUUGUCAUGCUAAGAUGGUUUGAAUGAUAUACAGGGUUAGUCCCCAGGGGUCAUCCCGACCCCCUGCCAUUUGAGAAAGUUCUAAUAUCUUGUAAAUGGUUGAGAUCCCACCCCUAAACCAUAUAUAUUCCUAUUUGUUAUGUCUCGAACAUAUUGACGUAUACGGUCAGUCCCCAGGGGUUCCCCCCACCCCCAAUGUUCUAAUAUCUUGUAAAUGGUUGAGAUCCCCACCCCUAAACCAUAUAUAUUCCUGUUCGUCAUGUAAUGAACAUUUGAAUGACGUAUAGGGUCAGUCCCCAGGGGUUCCUCCCCACCCCCAAUGUUCUAGUAUCUUGUAAAUGGUCGAGAUCCCCACCCCUAAACCAUAUAUAUUCUGGUUUGUCAUGCCAAGAUGAUUUGAAUGAUAUACAAGGUUAGUCCCCAGGCAUCACUAAUGCAUAUAACUUUACUGGACCAAACCAAUUUUCACUGGACGUUGCCCAAUGUCAGGCUACCCUGGGAAUUACGAAUUAUGGGAGCUUCGUUUGGGAGACUUCGUAACAGCAUCCUGUUACAAUCAUUUCUUGUUAUUCUUUCUUUUUUCGACUUUCAUAUUGUAUAGUUCUGAUUGAACAUAGAAAUACAUGUAAGCAACUGCCAGCACCCUUGAUACCGGAUAACGUUUUGUGCUGGAUUGCUCAUAUUGUUUGUAUGUUUGAUCCUGGUGUCAAGUGCAAUAUUAUAUUUACAUGAAUUAUGGGUGCAGAUGCUUUUUAAUUGUUUAUACAUUAUAAAUUAUGAUUUUAUUUUUUAUAUUUGGAAGACUGUGUAUGUAAUUAUCUCUUCUUUACAGUAUAUUUAAGGGGCCUUUGGUGGCCGAGUGGUCUAAGUAGUUACUACUGUAAUUAAUAACCAGUCAACACAGAGGUUCUGAGUUUGAACCCCACUCGUGUGGGUGCACUCGACUCCAAUCUUAAAUGACUAGGAUUGUCAGUUUUCCUAUCGAAGGUCGGUGGUUUUCUCCGGCUUCCUCUACCAAUAAAAACUGGCCGCCACAAAAUAGCCCAAAAGUGGUGCUUAAAAUUGGCGUUAAAACACCAAAAAUUAAAAAAAUCAAUCUGUGUAUUUAAUAUUUUCUAAAUAUUUAAAGUUCCUGUUCCCUGACUGAAGAAUCAUUGUGUUCCCAUUUGCAGAUUGUUUGAUUGUAAAAUCUGGAAAUUGGAGACCGAGACAGGAACUUUGUACUACAUUUAGUGCUGCAUAACAUUAUGAAUCAUCUUUUUAUUAGGUACAUUGAUUGCAAUAUGUCUAGAUUAGAGACUGGCACAGUUAAGGAUUUGUUGGCCUUUACUGUUCUGCAUUAUAUUAAGUUACAUUUAGGAAUUAAAAAAAAAACAGAUUCCUAAGCUUUGACAUAAGGAACUCCCAUAAAUACUGAAAGUGAAAUGGUUAAGAAAUCAUAUCUGUCAUGUCUGUAUUCAUUGCCAAAACAGAUAUUCUGUAGCAUGCUGAUUACAUAUAUAUACCAGUAUAAUGUACAUGUAUAAUAGUACUUUGAAAAAGGAAAUUCACUACAGGAAAGUAAAAAUCAUCAUAUGUGUAGUAAGGUUCUGAAUUCAACUCUUUCAUCCAUUGUCAAUAAACAGGAUAGAUCUAAAUAAGAGGCACUGAUGAGGCAAAAGAAAUUGACAAAGACUUAUCUUUUCACGGUUCUUAAUUUAUAAAUCUUGUUAAGAAGCAUUUAUGUUCUACCAUACAUGUAUUCAUUUGAAGAAUAUUUCAUCAAUUGAAUACGCAAAUGCAUACAUGUGUGAAUGGGUCGAAACUUUCCUGAUGACCAUUUUAGAUUGAAUUUGAAUUGUAUAUUAAGAUUUUUCUUUAUUAACAGUCUAGGCCUAAAAAUGAAAUGAGAAGAUCGUAUUUACAGUUUUUAUUAGAUAUAUAUAUAUACAUAUAUAAUUACUCUUAAUAUCAGCACAACAAUUUUGUCUUGUCUAUUCUUUUAAAUUUAAAUCCAUAGGUCAUUUCGAAAUUACUGUCAUCAGGAAGGUCGCAGGGAGUUUGUCUUUGUUUUAAAAUAAAGUAAAUAUAAAAAUUGUGUCUUUUGUCUUUGUUUUUACAUUUUUCACACAGAACCAACCUGGUUGAAGCUUGUUAAAAAGAUGUAAAUUUUGUUUUAAAAAAAAUGUGGGGGACUGAUAUACACAGGUGAAAUAGUAACCCACCUUUCUUCAGUCAUGAUAUAUAGUGGAGGUAUAGUUAAAAAUUAAAUGUUUAGUACAUGUACUGUUUUCCUAAUUAGGGCCCCGCCGAAUGGCAGACGCCAUAUAGUGAUCAGUCUGUAUGUCCCUAACAAAUUGUGUCCGCUCUAUAUCUAGAGAACCGUUAUGAUUUCAAAGUUUAUACUCGACAUGUAUAUUAACCAACACAAGAGGGUGUGUCAUAAUGUAUGUACAACUUCCUAGGUCAAAGGUCAAAAACUUUGGUUUAAGUUGACAACCCCAUGUCCUAUGGUAAAGAUUGUGUCCGCUCUAUAUCUUAAGAACCGUUAUGAUUUCAAAGUUUAUACUUGACAUGUAUAUAACCCAACACCAGAGGGUGUGUCAUAAUGUAUGUACAACUUCCUAGGUCAAAGGUCAAGGUCAAAAACUUUGGUUUUAGUUGACAACCCCAUGUCCUAUGGUACCACACAUUAUUCACAGCUGGGCACACAGAGAUGGCUCCCAUCUCAAUGAUAUCUAGUUCUACAUAUAUUUGUCCCUUUCUUUAUGUGUGUCAGUAUCUGCAUGUACACGUAUGUGCUAUUAAUUUUGUUGUAAAACACAAAUGGAUUUAAAUCAAAGAAAGUAUAAAGGAUUGUGUACUAUAAAGAAUAUCAAGAAAAAGUAACAAUCCGGUAUUGUUAACUUCAUCCAUACAUAAUGAUAUUUAAGGCUGUGAAAGAAGGUGAGACAGGACACGAAGGUAUGGAUUUUUUUUCUGUUGAAGGAUUAACGAGCAUGAUCAUGAUGAUGAGACCAUUCAUUUUUAUUAACCACAAAGUUCAAAAUUAUAAAUGAUGAUGAUCAUAUACAUGAUAUAUGGAAUUUUCUAUUGUUUCUUUCAUAUUGUUACAUUUACAUGUUAUGAUAUUGUACAGUAUUAAAAUAUAAUCAAUACUGAAUUUCUUUAAAA